AAGUUUUAAAUGGCCGCAGUAUUUUGACUGUGCAAAGGUAGCAUAAUCAUUAGUUUCUUAAUUAGAAGCUUGUAUGAAAGGUUGGAUGAGAAAGUUACUGUCUCUAUUUAAAUUAAUUAGAAUUUUAUAUUUAAGUAAAAAAGCUUAAAUAUAUAUAGAAGACGAGAAGACCCUAUAGAGUUUUAUAUUAUUAUUAUUUAUAUUUUUUAGUAUUAUAAUUAUGUAUAUAAUUAAUUAUUUGAUUGGGGUGAUUAAAAAAUUUAUUAAACUUUUUUUUUAUUAUUUCAUUAAUUUAUGAAUUAUUGAUCCUUAAUUUAAGAUUAAAAGAAUAAAUUACCUUAGGGAUAACAGCGUAAUUUUUUUUAAGAGUUCUAAUCAAAAAAAAAGUUUGC
rnacentral:rRNA from 1 species